rnacentral:rRNA from 1 species
GACGAACGCUGGCGGCGUGCUUAACACAUGCAAGUCGAACGGAAAGGCCCUGCUUUUGUGGGGUGCUCGAGUGGCGAACGGGUGAGUAACACGUGAGUAACCUGCCCUUGACUUUGGGAUAACUUCAGGAAACUGGGGCUAAUACCGGAUAGGAGCUCCUGCUGCAUGGUGGGGGUUGGAAAGUUUCGGCGGUUGGGGAUGGACUCGCGGCUUAUCAGCUUGUUGGUUGGGUAGUGGCUUACCAAGGCUUUGACGGGUAGCCGGCCUGAGAGGGUGACCGGCCACAUUGGGACUGAGAUGCGGCCCAGACUCCUACGGGAGGCAGCGGUGGGGAAUAUUGCACAAUGGGCGGAGGCCUGAUGCAGCAACGCCGCGUGGGGGAUGACGGCCAUCGGGUUGUAAACCACAUUCGCCUGUGACGAAGCGAGAGUGACGGUAAUGGGUGAAGAAGCACCGGCUAACUACGUG